rnacentral:rRNA from 1 species
CGGACGGGUGAGUAAUGUCUGGGAAGCUGCCUGAUGGAGGGGGGAUAACUACUGGAAACGGUAGCUAAUACCGCAUAACGUCGCAAGACCAAAGAGGGGGACCUUCGGGCCUCUUGCCAUCGGAUGUGCCCAGAUGGGAUUAGCUAGUAGGUGGGGUAACGGCUCACCUAGGCGACGAUCCCUAGCUGGUCUGAGAGGAUGACCAGCCACACUGGAACUGAGACACGGUCCAGACUCCUACGGGAGGCAGCAUG